CAGUCGUACCUUCGGGUAAUCAGCCUUUCGGGUGCGAUUCUGUGGAGCGUGAGGAGCUUAACACCUUCAUGCUUUGCAUAUUUGUGCUCUUGGGUGUACUUGCUCGUGUGGUUGGUUAACAUCAAUUUUGAUUAUCAUAAAAUGAUUGGAGGAAUGUAGCUUCGAUCUCGUAUUGAAGUGUUAUAGCCUUCGGUAGAUGUGAUGAUCGAGAUUGAGGAUUGCAACGGAUACCCUUCGGGGCUACCUGUCUGGUCUCUGAUCGUUGCUCUGGUGCCGAAAGCGUGCUUACGGUUAUCAAAGUCGAUGGUCAAUAGGUUAGAACGGGUUAAA
rnacentral:rRNA from 1 species